rnacentral:rRNA from 1 species
UGCGUAGGGGGCAAGCGUUGUCCGGAAUCAUUGGGCGUAAAGAGCGUGUAGGCGGCCCGGUAAGUCCGCUGUGAAAGUCGGGGGCUCAACCCUCGAAUGCCGGUGGAUACUGUCGGGCUAGAGUGCGGAAGAGGCGAGUGGAAUUCCUGGUGUAGCGGUGAAAUGCGCAGAUAUCGGGAAGAACACCCGUGGCGAAGGCGGCUCUCUGGGACGGUACUGACGCUGAGACGCGAAAGCGUGGGGAGCGAACAGG